rnacentral:rRNA from 1 species
CGCGUAGGCGGCUUGGCAAGUCAGAUGUGAAAUCCCCGGGCUUAACUCGGGAAUUGCAUCUGAAACUGCCUUGCUUGAGUCCUGGAGGGGGUAGUGGAAUUCCCAGUGUAGCGGUGAAAUGCGUAGAUAUUGGGAGGAACACCGGCGGCGAAGGCGGCUACCUGGACAGUGACUGACGCUGAGGCGCGAAAGCUAGGGGAGCGAACGGGAUUAGAUACCCCGGUAGUCCUAGCCGUAAACGAUGGGCACUUGGUGUUGGGGGUAUUGAGUCCCCCGGUGCCGGAGUUAACACGUUAAGUGCCCCGCCUGGGGAGUACGGUCGCAAGACUGAA